rnacentral:rRNA from 1 species
CCUAAGUCGGAUUAGCUAGUUGGUGGGGUAAAGGCCUACCAAGGCGACGAUCUGUAGCGGGUCUGAGAGGAUGAUCCGCCACACUGGGACUGAGACACGGCCCAGACUCCUACGGGAGGCAGCAGUGGGGAAUAUUGGACAAUGGGCGCAAGCCUGAUCCAGCCAUGCCGCGUGUGUGAAGAAGGCCUUAUGGUUGUAAAGCACUUUAAGCGAGGAGGAGGCUACUUUAGAUAAUACCUAGAGAUAGUGGACGUUACUCGCAGAAUAAGCACCGGCUAACUCUGUGCCAGCAGCCGCGGUAAUACAGAGGGUGCAAGCGUUAAUCGGAUUUACUGGGCGUAAAGCGCGCGUAGGCGGCUAAUUAAGUCAAAUGUGAAAUCCCCGAGCUUAACUUGGGAAUUGCAUUCGAUACUGGUUAGCUAGAGUGUGGGAGAGGAUGGUAGAAUUCCAGGUGUAGCGGUGAAAUGCGUAGAGAUCUGGAGGAAUACCGAUGGCGAAGGCAGCCAUCUGGCCUAACACUGACGCUGAGGUGCGAAAGCAUGGGGAGCAAACAGGAUUAGAUACCCUGGUAGUCCAUGCCGUAAACGAUGUCUACUAGCCGUUGGGGCCUUUGAGGCUUUAGUGGCGCAGCUAACGCG